UCUGGCGACUAUAGCGAGGGGGACACACCCGUUCCCAUUCCGAACACGGAAGUUAAGCCCUUCAGCGCCGAUGGUACUGCCCCGGCGACGGGGUGGGAGAGUAGGUCGUUGCCAGAA
rnacentral:rRNA from 1 species